ensembl:lncRNA
AGGGCUUCGCCAGCUAACUUUGAAUUACACCGCUAGCUGGGAGUGUUUUGAUUGUGGGUGUAUGUUUGAAAAUUAGAGAAUGUAAAUUAGUAGGCCGCCAGCGUGUGUGUUAGUGUCGGUGUCUUUUGUGUACGUGUGCGUAUAUGUGUGUGUCCAGGAUCUUUCUCAUUCACAACUAUUUGGUUCCAAGGCUUACAGAGGGCUGGAAAGACGCCAAUUCUCUUUUAUGUUCCUCUGCUUGUGUUUUACCAUGGUAACCCAGCAUGUAUCGUAAUGCCUUUGUGUGCUUUCCUUCCCUCUUUUUUUUUUCAUUCUUCAGACUGGUGGCCCGCUGCCAUAGGCUGGGCCAUGGGCUGUGGGCCAAACCUCACUAGGCAGUGUAUUACCACUCAGGUGGGUGGUACGUGUUAUUAGCGAUGAGAUUCCUUCCUUCCCUCUCUCAAUAAAUGAGCAGAAAACGACAGGGGUAUGCAGCAAAUGUCUCAGCGUUCUGCAAGAAACCAACGUCUAGUCUCGCACAGUGAAUAUAAGGAUUUUGCAUUUUGGACAACAUCAGUAGUCCUCUUUACUGAUGUAGUGGGCCAGUACAAAUCCCCAAAUGACCCAUUAUUGCUUUUUGGUAAUACCUUUUGUAAUUUCUAUCCAAGUCUCUUGGUAUAGGGGCCAUUAAGUAAUGAAUAACUAACUAUUACAAUAUUGGAAUACGUACUGUAAAUAGUACAAUAUAACCUUUCUUCAACUGUUUGCUUUUGGCAUGUCAAAUAUCUUGUUCAAGGCACAACUGGAAUAAGUGAAUAAGCCUGUACUGUAACAGUGGUAGAGAAAUCCACAGGUGUCAUCAGUGGAGGUGUUUAUUGGUCUCCCAUCUCUCAUGAAAUAAUAAGGCCAACUGUAGUGAGCUCGAGCUGCUGGAUAGGUGGUAUGCCAUUUAUGAGGUUUGUGUGUGUGUGUGUGUGUGUGUGUGUGUGUGUGUGUGUGUGUGUGUGUGUGUGUGUGUGUGUGUGUGUGUGUGUGUGUGUGUGUGUGUGUGUGUGUGUGUGUGUGUGUGUGUGUGUGUGUGUGUGUGUGCGUGCGUGCGUGCGUGCGUGCGUGCGUGCGUGCGUGCGUGCGUGCGUCUGUGUGUGUGAGAAAGAGAGUGAGAAUGCUCCCUGGUCCCUCCGUGGUUACAGAUGAAGCCGGGUGUGAUCCGUGUGUGUGUGAGAGACAGGGAUACAGCAUUGGGUGCUGCCUAGGUCAGUUGGUGGUUAGUUAGCAAUGAGGCUGGAAAAGGGGGUGAGUCAGUAACGUGCGGUCUGCUUCAGCCCUCGCAGCAAAUUUCCCAGAUACGAUUGUGAUUCUGUUAGUCAGUGUCCUACAAUACACACACACCUGAUUGCUUGCCCCAAGCUGCAGUAAAGCACUUUUUGCUGCUCUGUAUUAGUUCCGAAAUGUCCAAUGCCACAGCUCUAAUGAGCACAUAUUCACACACACAGUAUAGGCUAUAGAAAGCGAUGAUCCCGUUAUAACCAAAAGGUUACCUGUGGUAGACAGAACAAAAGGUUACCUGUGGUAGACAGAACAAAAGGUUACCUGUGGUAGACAGAACAAAAGGUUACCUGUGGUAGACAGAACAAAAGGUUAACUGUGGUAGACAGAACAAAAGGUUACCUGUGGUAGACAGAACAAAAGGUUACCUGUGGUAGACAGAACAAAAGGUUACCUGUGGUAGACAGCACAGAAGGUUACCUGUGGUAGACAGAACAAAAGGUUACCUGUGGUAGACAG